AUUGAACGCUGGCGGAAUGCUUUACACAUGCAAGUCGAACGGCAGCACGGACUUCGGUCUGGUGGCGAGUGGCGAACGGGUGAGUAAUAUAUCGGAACGUGCCCAGACGUGGGGGAUAACGUAGUGAAAAUUACGCUAAUACCGCAUACGAUCUAUGGAUGAAAGCGGGGGACCUUUGGGCCUCGCGGGAUUGGAGCGGCCGAUAUCAGAUUAGGUAGUUGGUGGGGUAAAGGCUCACCAAGCCAACGAUCUGUAGCUGGUCUGAGAGGACGACCAGCCACACUGGGACUGAGACACGGCCCAGACUCCUACGGGAGGCAGCAGUGGGGAAUUUUGGACAAUGGACGCAAGUCUGAUCCAGCCAUUCCGCGUGCAGGACGAAGGCCUUCGGGUUGUAAACUGCUUUUGUACAGAACGAAAAGGUUUCUACUAAUACUAGGAGCUCAUGACGGUACUGUAAGAAUGAGCACCGGCUAACUACGUGCCAGCCGCCGCGGUAA
rnacentral:rRNA from 1 species